UGCAAAUCUACUGAUGCUGAAUGCAUGGUGAAAAUCAUGGACUUCCUUUCUUGAAUGCUGCCUUCAAAUCUAAAUUAAAGAAAGGAGAAAAACACCCUGCAGAAGCUCAGUGUCUCAUAAUAAAAGGCUGAACCAAGACCUCAUAACUCACAUUUCAAUCAGUCACAAAGGGAAAGAUUUAGAACAUUCAUUUAAAAAUAUUUGUCUUUUUUCUCUCUCGGUAAUUUCCUAGCAAUUUCUUACAGUCAUGAGGAAAUGCCUAAUAUAUAUAUAUUUGCUUCAGUGUACACAGAUUUUUGUACAAAAUUCUGAAGUCUGUCAAUGUUUACUGACUGUAUAGUACUGU
rnacentral:lncRNA from 1 species